rnacentral:rRNA from 1 species
GGGGUACCCGCUGAUUUAAGAUAU